rnacentral:tRNA from 1 species
UCCUCUGUAGUUCAGUCGGUAGAACGGCGGACUGUUAAGCCGUAUGUCACUGGUUCGAGUCCAGUCAGAGGAGCCA